AGAGUUGAUCGGGUGGCGGCCUUUUGGUCAUUUUGGCUGGAGGGAGGAAAGUCCGGACUUCGCAGAGCACAGCGCCCAGGGCAAUCUGGGACGGGGUGACCCGAUGGAAAGUGCAACAGAAAGCAAACCGCCCGCAAGGGUCAGGGUGAAACGGUGCGGUAAGAGCGCACCAGCGUCGAAGGUAACUUUGGCGGCUUGGCAAACCCCGCUGGAAGCAAGGCCAAAUAGGGAGGCGUCGACGCUGCUCGCCGAGCCUCCGGGUAGGCCGCAUCAGAUAAAUCGCCAUACAAAGACAGAAUCCGGCUUACAGAUCAGCUCUCCCU
rnacentral:RNase_P_RNA from 1 species